rnacentral:rRNA from 1 species
ACGAACGCUGGCGGCGUGCUUAACACAUGCAAGUCGAACGGAAAGGCCCUGCUUUUGUGGGGUGCUCGAGUGGCGAACGGGUGAGUAACACGUGAGUAACCUGCCCUUGACUUUGGGAUAACUUCAGGAAACUGGGGCUAAUACCGGAUAGGAGCUCCUGCUGCAUGGUGGGGGUUGGAAAGUUUCGGCGGUUGGGGAUGGACUCGCGGCUUAUCAGCUUGUUGGUGGGGUAGUGGCUUACCAAGGCUUUGACGGGUAGCCGGCCUGAGAGGGUGACCGGCCACAUUGGGACUGAGAUACGGCCCAGACUCCUACGGGAGGCAGCAGUGGGGAAUAUUGCACAAUGGGCGGAGGCCUGAUGCAGCAACGCCGCGUGCGGGAUGACGGCCUUCGGGUUGUAAACCGCUUUCGCCUGUGACGAAGCGUGAGUGGCGGUAAUGGGUAAAGAAGCACCGGCUAACUACGUG